AGUUCAUCCCACACUACUUUAUCAACAAAGCUCGACGAAGCCAUACUAUCGCAGUGGAACGACCUGCUAUUUGUAGCGACUAUAAAGUGUUUACACUGCUUAAAGUCUUUUUAAGGCAAUAUGCCAGGUGCCCAUUGUUCAGUGCGGGACUGCCACAACGGUACCCGUGGGCUAAAGAAGUGGAUGGAAGAGUUUUGCCCUAUUCACGAGUGCAAUAAAGGAACCUCGCGCUGUGUAUGUGACCCGCCUUAUGUACUCGUCACAUUUCCUACUGAAAGAAGAGAUCCAGAACGUCGAGCCGAAUGGAUUAAAUUAGUUUCCCAGAGACUAUGGGUUGAGGAGGAAUUGGAAGUUUGUCGGCUUAGACCUGGUGUCAUUCCAUCAGUGUUAAACUUCCCGGCUCAUCUUUGAAGAGUACGUGCCAGAAAGACUACAACCAAGCAGCCUUGAGAUCUUAGGCAGCGUCUCCCUCAGGUUCCUCUCUAUCUCCCCACACAUCCACCAACCACUGGAACACAUCUCCAAAGUUCUGCCAGGCCAGCUCAGCUUCCCCUCAGAAGAAGUGCCGCCACCUGCCAGAUGAAGGAGCCUUUUGAGAGGCAGCUGGCAUCGUGAUUGGACUGUAGUUUGGUCUGUUCCAAUCCAGCUUCAGCUCCAGAGACGGCAGGCAGGACGAGUCAACGGAGGCCUGGUGGACGAAGGCUGCAGCUGAGUACAAUCCAGAAAACAACAGAGGAGGAAUGCAGCAGCCCAGGGCCAGAACAACCAGAGUAGCAUGACCAAAGAACUACAGACUCUUCACAACCUGCUCAAACUCUUGGUACAGGACCUCACCACACGGGUCAAGAAGGUUUCCGUCUCAUUUCUACUCUGAAGCUCACCUUCUCCUGCUCAAACUGCUGAUAAAUGUUUCUGCUGCUAUAAAGUCUGGUCUCCAGAACUUCCUAAAAACUCUCAAAGUCUCUUCUGAUGCAGGUUGCUUUGUAGAACUGUUCCAGAAAACCUCACUAAACCACAUGGAGGGGCCUCAAGAUAGUCGUCCAAAUGAAACCAUACAAAAACCAAACUAGCACAAUCCAAACGCUAAAGUCUCCUGCAGCCUACCAGAGAACCUCUGAGAACAGAGAAUCCAGACAGGAACUCUUACCUUCUGGACAACCAACGCUGGUUCACAAGAAUACAGAAUGUGUCUGAGCAAAAACCUCUGAAGACUCACUACAGCCAAGAUAAAGACACAACUCAGCUGCAGCAAAUCCACUAAUCACUGCACACAUUAGCACCAUGUGCUAACUGUGGCUAAAGAACCACAUUUACCAAGACAACUAUCCAGUACAAAGCCCUAAAACACACCAAGAAACACAUUAAAGACGAUUUUACUGCUGGAAGCUGCAAGCCAACGCCUAAAGAACAAACUAAAGCAAGGGAGCCAAACCCAGUUCAGUGGUGGAGAGAAGCAGAGGAAAUGUUUGUCUGCAGCUAAAUAAAGCAGGAAGACACUGAGCUGCUCAGGUGUUCCUGAUAACACCAAGCAGCCACCUGGACAGCCAAUAGGAACACAGCUUCCUGGAAGUCCAGAGGGCUGGGUUAGUGAAGGAAAUGUAAUUUAAAGUUGAAGCAGAAAGUUGAAAACCACCUUCUGAUACCUGAAAUCUCUGAGUUUUCACACAAAGAACACCUGAACAUGUCAAACUGGUUCCAUAGUAGAACCAUCAUUGUAAAAACGUCAUAGUAUGGUGUGUUGCUCAAAAAACAUUAGGACCCGGCUGUCAGGGGACAAACAUGUAAGAAACAUGAGAACAGAGAGAACCCAACCAGUAGGUCACAGUUUAUCAUCCCCCAGUCAUCUCCUGAAGUCCAUAUGGUGAGAGACAUCAGUAUCUGGUUGUUCAUUUACCAGAGGAUACUUAUAAUCAUGCUGAUGUGGUCUGUACUCUACAGUAUUUUAGUGACUCAAUAAAUGCCUAAGUUGUUUUUUUAAAAUUCUUUUUAGUUUUUAAUAAACAUUUAAUAGCCUAUAUGUAAUCAAUAAAUGGCCUUUGCCUAUCUUAAGAAAAAUUCACUCAGAACUCUGAUAUGUUAACAGUACUAAAUAAAUCAAUAAAUACAUGCAUACACACAUAAAUAAGUUAAUACAUUAACUGUGUUAAGAUAAGAUUUAGAUUUUAAAAAAGUUGUUUAUGUUUUUGCAGAAUCCAGUAUUGCUCACUGGUUGGUCAUUACAUUUUGUUAGUUUGAUUUCACUGUUUAAAAUGAUGCCACCUCUUUUCAGACAGAACCUGUGAUAAUAAAACAAUACAAAAUUUUUAGUUCCGUGUUAAUAAAGCACUUAAAGCUUUAA